UACGUAGGGCGCAAGCGUUGUCCGGAAUUACUGGGCGUAAAGCGCACGUAGGCGGCUUUGUAGGUUAGAGGUGAAAGCCCAGGGCUUAACCCUGGAAUUGCCUUUAAGACUGCAUCGCUAGAAUCGUGGAGAGGUGAGUGGAAUUCCGAGUGUAGAGGUGAAAUUCGUAGAUAUUCGGAAGAACACCAGUGGCGAAGGCGACUCACUGGACACGUAUUGACGCUGAGGUGCGAAAGCGUGGGGAGCAAACAGG
rnacentral:rRNA from 1 species